rnacentral:rRNA from 1 species
CGGGGGGCAGCAGUGAGGAAUAUUGGUCAAUGGACGCAAGUCUGAACCAGCCAUGCCGCGUGAAGGAUGAAGGCCUUCUGGGUUGUAAACUUCUUUUAUGGGGGAAGAAAAUUACGGUUUCUACUGUAACCGACGGUACCCUAGGAAUAAGCACCGGCUAACUCCGUGCCAGCAGCCGCGGUAAUACGGAGGGUGCAAGCGUUAUCCGGAUUUACUGGGUUUAAAGGGUGUGUAGGCGGGCUGUUAAGUCAGUGGUGAAAUCUCCGGGCUCAACCUGGAAACUGCCAUUGAUACUAAUAGUCUUGAAUCUUGUUGAGGUUGGCGGAAUAUGUCAUGUAGCGGUGAAAUGCAUAGAUAUGACAUAGAACUCCGAUUGCGAAGGCAGCUAACUAAGCAAGUAUUGACGCUGAGGCACGAAAGCGUGGGGAUCAAACAGGAUUAGAUACCCGAGU